rnacentral:rRNA from 1 species
UACGAAGGGGGCUAGCGUUGCUCGGAAUCACUGGGCGUAAAGGGUGCGUAGGCGGGUCUUUUAAGUCAGGGGUGAAAUCCUGGAGCUCAACUCCAGAACUGCCUUUGAUACUGAAGAUCUUGAGUUCGGGAGAGGUGAGUGGAACUGCGAGUGUAGAGGUGAAAUUCGUAGAUAUUCGCAAGAACACCAGUGGCGAAGGCGGCUCACUGGCCCGGUACUGACGCUGAGGAGCGAAAGCGUGGGGAGCGAACAGG